CGGAUUUGAUUUUUCAUGCUAUGGAAAAGGUGAAGGUGAUUUGAUAUAGGAUUAUGGCUGCCCUAAUUCUCAAAAGUCCUAUGUAGAUGUAAGGCGUAGAGACUUAGAGUUUGAGGUUGGAAAUAGGUAUUCCUAAGAGUACACCCACAAAGGGAAUGAUGGGUUUGGUAAAAAGGGGAAGCUCAGUCCCCAUUAUGUUAGUCCUUAUGUGGUCUUAUAGAGGGU
rnacentral:lncRNA from 1 species